rnacentral:rRNA from 1 species
AAUGAACGUUGGCGGCGUGGAUUAGGCAUGCAAGUCGAACGGGCCGCAAGGCCAGUGGCGCAAGGGUGAGUAAGGCGACGGCAACCAACCCCGUGAUUGGGUAUAGCCGCGGGAAACCGCGGGUAAUCCCCAGCGACGUCCGGGAGGGGCAUCCCCUCCGGACCAAAGCUCCGGCGUCGUGGGACGGGCCGUCGUGCUAUUAGCUUGUUGGCGGGGUAACGGCCCACCAAGGCUCUGAUGGCUACCGGGCGUGCGAGCGUGGCCCGGCACACUGGGACUGAGACACUGCCCAGACUCCUACGGGAGGCUGCAGUCGAGAAUCUUCGGCAAUGGGCGCAAGCCUGACCGAGCGACGCCGCGUGGAGGACGAAGGCCUUCGGGUUGUAAACUCCUGUCGAGGGGGAAGAAGGGGUAAAACCUUGACUGAUCCCUGGAGGAAGCACGGGCUAAGUUCGUGCCAGCAGCCGCCGUAACAC